GACGAACGCUGGCGGCGUGCCUAAUACAUGCAAGUCGAACGCUUCUUUCCUCCCGAGUGCUUGCACUCAAUUGGAAAGAGGAGUGGCGGACGGGUGAGUAACACGUGGCUAACCUACCCAUCAGAGGGGGAUAACACUUGGAAACAGGUGCUAAUACCGCAUAACAGUUUAUGCCGCAUGGCAUAAGAGUGAAAGGCGCUUUCGGGUGUCGUUGAUGGAUGGACCCGCGGUGCAUUAGCUAGUUGGUGAGGUAACGGCUCACCAAGGCCACGAUGCAUAGCCGACCUGAGAGGGUGAUCGGCCACACUGGGACUGAGACACGGCCCAGACUCCUACGGGAGGCAGCAGUAGGGAAUCUUCGGCAAUGGACGAAAGUCUGACCGAGCAACGCCGCGUGAGUGAAGAAGGUUUUCGGAUCGUAAAACUCUGUUGUUAGAGAAGAACAAGGACGUUAGUAACUGAACGUCCCCUGACGGUAUCUAACCAGAAAGCCACGGCUAACUACGUG
rnacentral:rRNA from 1 species